rnacentral:rRNA from 1 species
GAUGAACACUGACAGCAUGCUUAACACAUCAGCAAUUGAUUGGUGGCGGACGGGUGAGUAACGCGUAAAGAACUUGCCUCACAGCUAGGGACAACAUUUGGAAACGAAUGCUAAUACCUAAUACUGUGAGAGAGCGUUGCGUCCCAUUAGCUAGUUGGAGAGGUAACGGCUCACCAAGGCGAUGAUGGGUAGCCGGCCUGAGAGGGUGAUCGGGCACAAGGGGACUGGGAAGCGGCCCGUAGGCCUACGGGAGGCAGCAGUGGGGGAUAUUGGACAAUGGACCAAAGUCUGAUGAAGGAAUUCUGUGUGCACGAUGAAGUUUUCGGAAUGUAAAGUGCUUUCAGUUGAGAAGCGGUACCAACAGAAGAAGUGACGGCUAAAUACGUGCCAGCAGCCGCGGUAAUUC